rnacentral:rRNA from 1 species
AUGAACGCUAGCGACAGGCUUAACACAUGCAAGUCGAGGGGCAGCACAGGUAGCAAUACCGGGUGGCGACCGGCGCACGGGUGAGUAACGCGUAUGCAACUUGCCUAUCAGAGGGGGAUAACCCGGCGAAAGUCGGACUAAUACCGCAUGAAGCAGGGGCCCCGCAUGGGGAUAUUUGCUAAAGAUUCAUCGCUGAUAGAUAGGCAUGCGUUCCAUUAGGCAGUUGGCGGGGUAACGGCCCACCAAACCGACGAUGGAUAGGGGUUCUGAGAGGAAGGUCCCCCACAUUGGUACUGAGACACGGACCAAACUCCUACGGGAGGCAGCAGUGAGGAAUAUUGGUCAAUGGGCGUAAGCCUGAACCAGCCAAGUCGCGUGAGGGAUGAAGGUUCUAUGGAUCGUAAACCUCUUUUAUAAGGGAAUAAAGUGCGGGACGUGUCCCGUUUUGUAUGUACCUUAUGAAUAAGGAUCGGCUAACUCCGUGCCAGCAGCCGCGGUAAUACGGAGGAUCCGAGCGUUAUCCGGAUUUAUUGGGUUUAAAGGGUGCGUAGGCGGCCUUUUAAGUCAGCGGUGAAAGUCUGUGGCUCAACCAUAGAAUUGCCGUUGAAACUGGGGGGCUUGAGUAUGUUUGAGGCAGGCGGAAUGCGUGGUGUAGCGGUGAAAUGCAUAGAUAUCACGCAGAACCCCGAUUGCGAAGGCAGCCUGCCAAGCCAUGACUGACGCUGAUGCACGAAAGCGUGGGGAUCAAACAGGAUUAGAUACCCUGGUAGUCCACGCAGUAAACGAUGAUCACUAGCUGUUUGCGAUACACAGUAAGCGGCACAGCGAAAGCGUUAAGUGAUCCACCUGGGGAGUACGCCGGCAACGGUGAAACUCAAAGGAAUUGACGGGGGCCCGCACAAGCGGAGGAACAUGUGGUUUAAUUCGAUGAUACGCGAGGAACCUUACCCGGGUUUGAACGCAUUCGGACCGAGGUGGAAACACCUUUUCUAGCAAUAGCCGUUUGCGAGGUGCUGCAUGGUUGUCGUCAGCUCGUGCCGUGAGGUGUCGGCUUAAGUGCCAUAACGAGCGCAACCCUUGCCACUAGUUACUAACAGGUGAUGCUGAGGACUCUGGUGGGACUGCCAGCGUAAGCUGCGAGGAAGGCGGGGAUGACGUCAAAUCAGCACGGCCCUUACAUCCGGGGCGACACACGUGUUACAAUGGCGUGGACAAAGGGAGGCCACCUGGCGACAGGGAGCGAAUCCCCAAACCACGUCUCAGUUCGGAUCGGAGUCUGCAACCCGACUCCGUGAAGCUGGAUUCGCUAGUAAUCGCGCAUCAGCCAUGGCGCGGUGAAUACGUUCCCGGGCCUUGUACACACCGCCCGUCACACCAUGGGAGUCGGAAAUGCCCGAAGCCAGUGACCCAACCUUUUGGAGGGAGCUGUCGAAGGUGGAGCCGGUAACUGGGGUG